CAGCAGUCGCCGCGGUAAUCCGUAGGUGGCAAGCGUUGUCCGGAAUUAUUGGGCGUAAAGGGCUCGCAGGCGGUUUCUUAAGUCUGAUGUGAAAGCCCCCGGCUCAACCGGGGAGGGUCAUUGGAAACUGGGAAACUUGAGUGCAGAAGAGGAGAGUGGAAUUCCACGUGUAGCGGUGAAAUGCGUAGAGAUGUGGAGGAACACCAGUGGCGAAGGCGACUCUCUGGUCUGUAACUGACGCUGAGGAGCGAAAGCGUGGGGAGCGAACAGGAUUAGAUACCCCAGUAGUCCCUGUCUCUUAUAC
rnacentral:rRNA from 1 species